AAAUGAGUUUUUGAAAAAAAAUGAAUUUUUAGAGAAUGAAGAUCAAAUAGUGGCAUAGUAUAAUACAUGAGUAAAUUGUGAGAAAGGGGUUUUAAUUUACAAUACUAUGUUGUACACUCCAUGGACAAUCUUUCAUAAAGUAUAAGUAAACAUGCUAUUGCUAUCUUUUUAUUAACUGUACUUUAGUUCAUAAAAAUACAAAGCUGCGAGCUAGGAAGAGAGUUUAUUUUCCCGUAACAGCAAUCCCAGUGCAUUGUAUUUGGAACUUCUGAAAUUUUCUUCACCUAAAAUAUAACUUCAAGCAUCAUUUUGGAGAUGGUUUAUAUGGAGGUAAUAACAUUUACAUUCAGUAUUUUUAGUAUCCUAAGUUUUUUCUUUAGUUUCAUCACUCUACAGACACGUGAGAUUGCUCCAUGUGUAGGGAUUUUAGUGCUGAACCUGGACGUCAGCAUUUGUAGGAUUCAUUCAUUGGCAUUGUGCUGAACCUGCAUGUCAGCAUUUGUAGGAUUCAUUCAUUGGCAUUGUGCUGAACCUGCAUGUCAGCAUUUGUAGGAUUCAUUCAUUGGCAUUGUGCUGAACCUGCAUGUCAGCAUUUGUAGGAUUCAUUCAUUGGCAUUGUGCUGAACCUGCAUGUCAGCAUUUGUAGGAUUCAUUCAUUGGCAUUGUGCACAAUUCCAAUUCAGUGGCAUGUUUGGUAAACGGGAUUAUUAUAGGAGAUAAGCUAAAAUCUUUACAAUUGUACUACGACUCCAUAGGAUUAUUAUUCUUGAUAGCUUGCCUAGUCUUAUGUGACAUAUUGAGAAUUUUGGUUAGGAAUAUUUAUCUAUUGGGGACCAUUGUCAUCAAUGGAUUUUAAUCUGUUAAUCUUGUUUUCCCUUGCUAGAUCUGACUUGGGUUGAUGGAGG
rnacentral:lncRNA from 1 species